rnacentral:rRNA from 1 species
AGAGUUUGAUCCUGGCUCAGAUUGAACGCUGGCGGCAGGCCUAACACAUGCAAGUCGAGCGGCAGCGACAACAUUGAACCUUCGGGGGAUUUGUUGGGCGGCGAGCGGCGGACGGGUGAGUAAUGCCUAGGAAAUUGCCCUGAUGUGGGGGAUAACCAUUGGAAACGAUGGCUAAUACCGCAUGAUGCCUACGGGCCAAAGAGGGGGACCUUCGGGCCUCUCGCGUCAGGAUAUGCCUAGGUGGGAUUAGCUAGUUGGUGAGGUAAGGGCUCACCAAGGCGACGAUCCCUAGCUGGUCUGAGAGGAUGAUCAGCCACACUGGAACUGAGACACGGUCCAGACUCCUACGGGAGGCAGCAGUGGGGAAUAUUGCACAAUGGGCGCAAGCCUGAUGCAGCCAUGCCGCGUGUGUGAAGAAGGCCUUCGGGUUGUAAAGCACUUUCAGUCGUGAGGAAGGUAGUGUAGUUAAUAGCUGCAUUAUUUGACGUUAGCGACAGAAGAAGCACCGGCUAACUCCGUGCCAGCAGCCGCGGUAAUACGGAGGGUGCGAGCGUUAAUCGGAAUUACUGGGCGUAAAGCGCAUGCAGGUGGUUUGUUAAGUCAGAUGUGAAAGCCCGGGGCUCAACCUCGGAAUAGCAUUUGAAACUGGCAGACUAGAGUACUGUAGAGGGGGGUAGAAUUUCAGGUGUAGCGGUGAAAUGCGUAGAGAUCUGAAGGAAUACCGGUGGCGAAGGCGGCCCCCUGGACAGAUACUGACACUCAGAUGCGAAAGCGUGGGGAGCAAACAGGAUUAGAUACCCUGGUAGUCCACGCCGUAAACGAUGUCUACUUGGAGGUUGUGGCCUUGAGCCGUGGCUUUCGGAGCUAACGCGUUAAGUAGACCGCCUGGGGAGUACGGUCGCAAGAUUAAAACUCAAAUGAAUUGACGGGGGCCCGCACAAGCGGUGGAGCAUGUGGUUUAAUUCGAUGCAACGCGAAGAACCUUACCUACUCUUGACAUCCAGAGAACUUUCCAGAGAUGGAUUGGUGCCUUCGGGAACUCUGAGACAGGUGCUGCAUGGCUGUCGUCAGCUCGUGUUGUGAAAUGUUGGGUUAAGUCCCGCACGAGCGCAACCCUUAUCCUUGUUUGCCAGCGAGUAAUGUCGGGAACUCCAGGGAGACUGCCGGUGAUAAACCGGAGGAAGGUGGGGACGACGUCAAGUCAUCAUGGCCCUUACGAGUAGGGCUACACACGUGCUACAAUGGCGCAUACAGAGGGCGGCCAACUUGCGAAAGUGAGCGAAUCCCAAAAAGUGCGUCGUAGUCCGGAUUGGAGUCUGCAACUCGACUCCAUGAAGUCGGAAUCGCUAGUAAUCGUGGAUCAGAAUGCCACGGUGAAUACGUUCCCGGGCCUUGUACACACCGCCCGUCACACCAUGGGAGUGGGCUGCAAAAGAAGUAGGUAGUUUAACCUUCGGGGGGACGCUUACCACUUUGUGGUUCAUGACUGGGGUGAAGUCGUAAAAAGGUAGCCGUA